AGGGGCAGCAUAAUUAUUCGCAAGAAUAAUGGUGGCGACCGGCGCACGGGUGCGUAACGCGUAUGCAACCUACCUUUUACUGGGGUAUAGCCCGGAGAAAUCCGGAUUAAUCCCCCAUAGUACUGACAAUUCGCAUGAUGAGUCAGUUAAAGUUUCGGCGGUAAAAGAUGGGCAUGCGUCCUAUUAGCUAGAUGGUAAGGUAACGGCUUACCAUGGCUACGAUAGGUAGGGGGCCUGAGAGGGUGGUCCCCCACACUGGUACUGAGACACGGACCAGACUCC
rnacentral:rRNA from 2 species